rnacentral:rRNA from 1 species
GGUGAACGCUGGCGGCGUGCCUAACACAUGCAAGUCGAACGAACAGACGGUGAGCUUUUUCUCCUGACGUUAGCGGCUGGCGGGUGAGUGACGCGUGGAUCACCAACUUAUUUGUCGGGGGUGAUUUCGUGGGGCCGGAGACGCUAACACAGAAUAUAAUGUACCGGAGGAAGCAAUAGUUAAAUGCGGCUUUGCCGUCACAUUUAGCUGAAUCCGCGUCGCAUUAGCUAGUUGGUAAAGUAACGGCAUACCAAGGCAACGAUGCGUAGCCGACCUGAGAGGGUGAUCGGCCACACUGGAACUGAGACACGGUCCAGACUCCUACGGGAGGCAGCAGUGGGGAAUCUUCCGCAAUGGGCGAAAGCCUGACCCAGCCACACCGCGUGAGUGAUGAAGGUCUUCGGAUCGUAAAGCUCUGUUGUUGGGGAAGAAAAGAAGCGGGAUUAUCUCUGCACGUCUUGACGGUACCUAAACAAAAAGCACCGGCUAACUACGUG